UGGGACAAGCUGUUUGUCAGGGAUUUGGGCCCUGCUGAGGAAACCUUUGGAUCCUGGCUUUGGAAUCUGUGCUUCCUGUGGUUUUUCUGGGGACAUGGGCUGGAGUGAGUUCCACAGGGUGUUUCUAAGAGCAGCCCAAAAGGCUCAGCUGGACAAGGAGCCUGCAGUGCAGCACCCCGAGAUCAGUGAUGGGUGUAAUUCUGGGAAAGCCCUCAUUUUCCAUGGGAUUGGAAAGAAAUGCCAUGUUAGGGAAGACUCCCAAGGACUGCUCUCAAGAAGUGCUAAUUGCUGUAUCCUGGAUUGGCUCAAGGCUUACAAGGAGCAUCGUGUCCCAGGGGAAUGCUCUGCAUAAUGAAAGACCUGCCUGGUGAGAGAUAUUGGAUGGGCAGGAAUUAGGAUCAAAGGGCACAUGAAGAUCUGGAGUCAGUACUGUAAUUCUUUCUUUUGAUCCAAAUAAACUUCAGAUGAAGUCCA
rnacentral:lncRNA from 1 species